AUACGUAGGUCCCGAGCGUUGUCCGGAUUUAUUGGGCGUAAAGCGAGCGCAGGCGGUUUAAUAAGUCUGAAGUUAAAGGCAGUGGCUUAACCAUUGUUCGCUUUGGAAACUGUUAGACUUGAGUGCAGAAGGGGAGAGUGGAAUUCCAUGUGUAGCGGUGAAAUGCGUAGAUAUAUGGAGGAACACCGGUGGCGAAAGCGGCUCUCUGGUCUGUAACUGACGCUGAGGCUCGAAAGCGUGGGGAGCAAACAGGAUUAGAUACCCUGGUAGUCCACGCCGUAAACGAUGAGUGCUAGGUGUUAGGCCCUUUCCGGGGCUUAGUGCCGCAGCUAACGCAUUAAGCACUCCGCCUGGGGAGUACGACCGCAAGGUUGAAACUCAAAGGAAUUGGCGGGG
rnacentral:rRNA from 1 species